GAGUGAAGAAAGCAAGGAAAUGAGCACCUAAAUUGAAUUGGGUCUCCAUGCUUGUUCUCUCUGACGCCUUUCGGCUUUGAUUUGGAGUCAUGAUUCAACAACAUAACU